rnacentral:misc_RNA from 1 species
UGGAACACUAUCAUAAGCCUUCUAAGCCAAAAAAGUUUAAGGAAUCUAUACAAGGACAAAAGAUAACCAGACCACAGAGAAGGCAAUGGAAAAUGAAAAUUUAGCUAAUUCUCUUGCUCAUGGUGAAUUGAAGAGCCACUCAGCUGUAGUUGUCAUUGAUUUGAUAUGUCCAAAGUUUUCUUGGAGAUGUUUCGGAAGAAUGAAGUUCAUCAUUUCACUCAUAUUGCUACCAUCCAAGAAGAUCGAAUUGCUUGUUCUCCAAAUUCAAUCAUUGAUUCUUCCAUGGUAGUCAAAGGCGAAAGGCACACUUAAGGUGAUA